GAUCACAAAGCUCGGGGCUGGGACCCCCCUGAUCCCACAGCAGAUCCCAGGGCCGGGAUCCCUCCCAGGGCAGUUCCAUGUCCCAGGAUCACAGCUCGGUGCUCCUGGGCAGCCCCAGGAUCUGGUUCUGUGUCCCAGGAUCUGGUUCUGUGCCCCAGGAUCACAGCUCGGUGCUCUCAGGCAGCCCCAGGGGUGGCUCCGUGUCCCGUGUCCUCUCCAGGGGCAGCAGCUCCGUGUCCUGCCGUCCCCCCGAGGGCAGCUCCCUGUUCUGGGCUCCCUCCACGUCCCAGGACACCGCUCUGGGCUCGGCCCCGUGUCCCCACGGGGGGCACCCCUCGCUCCCCCCGGGGUGACUCCGUGUCCCGGGGUCCCCCCGAGCUGCGGGGCUCCCUCAGGACGAGUCCCGGUCCAGGCUGCAGCCCAGGGCCUCGAUGUCGCUGCUGAUGUGGGAGAUCAUGCGGUCCCACUCAUCCUCCUCCGAGGGCACCGACUGCUCGUCGGAGCUGCCGGCGGCGCCGGUGCCGUUGGAGGCGGAGGCGGCGCCCAGCGAGCGCCGGUAGCGGCCGAAGCUGUCGGUGAUGAUGCCGCGGCCGUCCUUCACCCCGAUGGUCUCCAGGAAGUUCUCGAAGUGCUGGCUGUCCUUCUCGGGGAUGAAGGGCCGCAGGCCUGGGGCAGGGACACGGCGUGGUGAGCGCCUGGGAGCCCCCCCGGAGGGCUGGGGACCACCGGGGUCCCGCCCGCUCACAGCGGGGCCGGGGGCAGAACCCGGCUCAGGUGGGAUCUGCUGAGCUCCAAACCAUCUCAUUUCUCAGCUGGGAUCUCACUGGGCUUUGCUGAGCUCAUCCCAAUCAUUUGUCCCAUUGGGGACAUCUGUCCUGUCCCUUUGGUGUCCCCAGGGCCCCACGGGGGACACACCUGGGCAGCAGAGCCAGGUGAGACCCCCAGGUGAAUUCAGACACUGCUCCUGUCCUGGGGGGGUUUGUGUUCCCUGGGCAGCAGAGCCAGGUGAGACCCCCAGGUGCACCCAGACCCUGCUCCUGUCCUGGGGGGUUUAAACUCCCAUUCCCUGGGCAGCACAGCCAGGUGAGACCCCCAGGUGAAUUCAGACCCUGCUCCUGUCCUGGGGGGUUUAAACUCCUGUUUCCUGGGCAGCAGAGCCAGGUGAGACCCCCAGGUGAAUUCAGACACUGCUCCUGUCCUGGGGGGGUUUGUGU
rnacentral:lncRNA from 1 species